ACAUGAAAAGCCAUCGGCUAAAGAUUUGAUAGUUAUCCUCGACGAUCCUCAGCUCGAAGUUCAUGCUGAGUUGGUUGUCUCGGUGGAAGAGGAGGAUGCAAUAUAUGUACGUGAAUUACUUGUUCCCCCUACUGAAGACGAUCCAGUAUUUGAGUCCGUUCCGGAUAGAAAUAUAGAGCGCCAUCCGGAACUUCCACUUAGGAGAUCUCCUUCGCCUCCACCGAUGAGAUCUCC